rnacentral:misc_RNA from 1 species
AGCAUCACCAAGAAAUUCAGAGAAGAUAGUGUUGGCAGCUUGGAGAGGAGACAAAUGAUAAAAUUGGGCCAAAUGAUAAUUUCCCAAUGAUUUGAACCAAUCUUGCAAAGAUCCAGUAGUACGAGAAAUAAACUCUCUUAAUACUUCAUGAGAAUCAGCUCCUUGCCUUAGCAUUUAGACGUCUAUCCAAACUUUGAACUCAGCUAGUCUGCUGCGCCAUUGGGCUGGAGGGAGAUCAUCCAGAGUAAACCAUGGGCCUGAACUGGGCUUUGUAGCCUGUUGAGUAUUUGGAAGAUCAAAAUGGACUUCUUCUGUUUCUUCUUCAAGAAUUUCAACAUUGGGCUGAGCCUGUGGAGGAGGCGGAGGAGAAUUCUCAUGGGCCGUUCCAGAUGGUCCAAUAGCUCCAGUUUUGGAGGCUUCAGAGGGAGUUGUUUGGGGUGGAUCUGCCAUUAGUAAAGCUAUGAUGUCAGCUUGCUCAUCAUCACUGAAAGAGUUUGAGAAAGCUUCACUGUCCUCAGCAGAGGAUUCUUCUAUGGAUUUAGAAGUCGGGAAAACCAUAUGUUGUGGAGGCAAUGGAGGAUCAAGGUACAUUUUUGCUUUACCCUUAUUGAUCUUUCUUCUGGUGUUUGGCAAGGAUUCAUCGGAAGAGGAAAGACUUUGUUCCGGCCUUACAGAGGGAACUGGUAGAGCAGAAAAAGGACUUGGGGAAGACAUGACCUUCUGGAAUAGAGGUGAAGGAUUAUAAGGUGGUGGUUCAGUAUAGCUGUAAUUGAGUGACGGUGUAAAGGCUGAGUAUGGUGAGGCAGGUGUAGGCAAAAAAGCACUUGGGGUAGUCAUGAUGAAAGGACUUUGGGUACUAACAUUGGCAACUGGGUUAUAUGGUUUUGUGGCUUCAGAGAAAACAGGCUUAUGAAGAUCAGCUUCUAUCUGGGCUAUUUGAGACUUUAGUCUUUUAAUUGCUGCUUCCUUA